GUUCCCACGAACGAAUCUGAUAAUGAUUGACCAGGUUCAACAAAGUCAAACGUUCAUAUUUUGAUGGAGCUGUGUACUUACAGUGGGCAGGAACAUUUUACCAAAGAAAAGAAGGAAGAAUCAUUUCAAGAGGAAUUGGAAUUGUGAUCAUCUGCGACUAAUGUGGGUAUUUGACCUUGAUUGACAAAGUCAAUCUUGUUUAAUCUCAAACAGCAAAGAAUUUUCUCGGGUAAUUCUUCUGGUUUUUGAGCCUGUAUGUUUUUUUUUAACAAGAAAAAAUAUUAGGGAGGGAAAAAGUUGUAAUAGUUUGAAAGUACAUCAACAAUUCAUGAUUAGAUUUAGAUUACCUGAAUUGUUAAGCCGAGAUUCAUAAUCCCGUGUUUUAGACGUUCACGAAAUGCAUCCAAUCCUUUUCUUGCUAUGUAACUAAAUCGAUGAAUAUCAAGGUCAAUUUCAAAGUAA